GUGCCAGCAGCCGCGGUAAUACAGAGGGUGCGAACGUUGCUCGGAAUUACUGGGCGUAAAGCGCGUGUAGGCGGAGCGCUAAGUCGGGCGUGAAAUCCCCAGGCUCAACCUGGGAACUGCGCUCGAAACUGACGUUCUCGAGUAUCGGAGAGGGUGGCGGAAUUCCUGGUGUAGAGGUGAAAUUCGUAGAUAUCAGGAGGAACACCGGUGGCGAAGGCGGCCACCUGGACGAUUACUGACGCUGAGACGCGAAAGCGUGGGGAGCAAACAGGAUUAGAUACCCUGGUAGUCC
rnacentral:rRNA from 1 species